rnacentral:rRNA from 1 species
UACGUAGGGGGCAAGCGUUGGUCCGGAAUCAUUGGGCGUAAAGAAGCGCGUAGGCGGUCCGGUAAGUCCGCUCUGAAAGUCCGGGGCUCAACCCCGGGAGGCGGGCGGAUACUGCCGGGCUAGAGUCCGGAAGAGGCGAGUGGAAUUCCUGGGUGUAGCGGUGAAAAUGCGCAGAUAUCAGGAGGAACACCGAUGGCGAAGGCAGAUCUCUGGGCCGUAACUGAC